rnacentral:rRNA from 1 species
GACGAACGCUGGCGGCGUGCUUAACGCAUGCAAGUCGAACGGAAAGGCCCUGCUUUUGUGGGGUGCUCGAGUGGCGAACGGGUGAGUAACACGUGAGUAACCUGCCCUUGACUUUGGGAUAACUUCAGGAAACUGGGGCUAAUACCGGAUAGGAGCUCCUGCUGCAUGGUGGGGGUUGGAAAGUUUCGGCGGUUGGGGAUGGACUCGCGGCUUAUCAGCUUGUUGGUGGGGUAGUGGCUUACCAAGGCUUUGACGGGUAGCCGGCCUGAGAGGGUGACCGGCCACAUUGGGACUGAGAUACGGCCCAGACUCCUACGGGAGGCAGCAGUGGGGAAUAUUGCACAAUGGGCGGAAGCCUGAUGCAGCAACGCCGCGUGCGGGAUGACGGCCUUCGGGCUGUAAACCGCUUUCGCCUGUGACGAAGCGUGAGUGACGGUAAUGGGUAAAGAAGCACCGGCUAACUACGUG